AGACGGAGGAGGCAAGCGUUGUCCGGAAUCAUUGGGCGUAAAGAGCGCGUAGGCGGUUUUCCAAGUCAUGUGUGAAAACUUCAGGCUCAACUUGAAGAUUGCAUAUGAAACUGGAAAGCUAGAGUACGGCAGAGGAAAGUGGAAUUCCUGGUGUAGCGGUGAAAUGCGCAGAUAUCAGGAAGAACACCGGUGGCGAAGGCGGCUUUCUAGGCCGUUACUGACGCCGAGGCGCGAAAGCUAGGGGAGCAAACAGGAUUAGAUACCCUGGUAGUCCUAGCCGUAAACGAUGGACACUAGGUGUGGGAAGUUAUCGACGCUUUCUGUGCCGAAGCUAACGCAUUAAGUGUCCCGCCUGGGGAGUACGGCCGCAAGGCUAAA
rnacentral:rRNA from 1 species